rnacentral:tRNA from 1 species
UUUCAAAUAGUUUAAAUUAAAACAUUUUAUUUUCAAUAAAAAAAAGGUAAUCAACUUUUGAAAA